GAAGACCCCAGGGCAUCGCUGCCUUUCAGCUUCUUUUGCGCUUUGUGCAUCUCGUGUCAUAUUCCAAAGACACUCAGCUCUGGGCACAUGCACAGAGGGCCGCGUCUGUCCCGGGGCGUGUUACCUAAAACCAGGCACUGACCUCCAGGUUAUGGGUUCUUCUGGAGUCUUCUGAACCUGCCGGGCAUUUCUGACUGGAUGAAAAUUAACAAAAGUCCAUGGUCAAACUGAUGAAAAUUAGCAGCAGUUCAUCUUAAUUUAAUUGCCA
rnacentral:lncRNA from 1 species